CUAUGAGCAGACGCUUCAUACCGUCAGAUGUAUACACGUGUUCCACAUCCCACGGUUCAUACCACCUAUAAAUACCCAAAGUUUGGCAAGAGGCAAAGGUAAUGAAACUCUCAAUACAUAGCAUUCCAUAACAAGUUUAUAUAUUCUCCUCCCCCUUUAUUGAUUGGUUUGUGUAGCCCCUGGGCACUGUUCCAACCAUCCAAACCUGACUUGACCGUCGGAGUGUAUACGGCUGCCACCACCCCCGUCGGUUCCGGCCGUGUGCGCCUGACCAUUUGUUCAUUUCGCAGGGAGGAAUACGUGGAGUAGCUAUAAGUUGGCCACGUAGAGGAGCCAUUUUUGGAGAUCAACAGUUUGGCGCCGUCUGUAGGAACUCAUUCCCCAUUUGAAGUUUUACAUUCCCCAUCGGAGAAGACACCGGAAAACCGGCGACUGACCCUGAAAAGGGGGCAUUCUUGAAAAAGAACAAAAGUCGAAUUACAAUCCAAGUUCUUACUCCCCUUGAAAGAAGAGGCAGGAUGAGCUACAGCCGUGAAGACAAUCCCAUGGGAGAGGCCUCUGAAGAAGAGGUACUCCAUAACAAUGUUACUCAUCAGAGAUCGCAUCACCGGCGUUGACGAGGCGAAAGAACGGCCAUACCCACUGAAGGAAUGGCCCAGAUAGCAGCGGGUAUGAGAGACAUAGCAGCUCAGAAUAUGGCGAUGCGGGAACUUCUCAUGCAAGCCCAGAGACACCAGAGGCCCCAAGGAUCUUAUCCGGUACAGGAAAUCCCUUUGUCUCACUCUCGAGGCCACAUGAGCUGGCACACAGAACGUCCUCUCGAAAGAGAGGGGAACACCGAAGCGACAUCUUAUGUGCAGGAGAGUCACCCAUCAGAACCACUCUUGGGGGACAACUUUCCUCAAGAACACGAUGACCAGAGGUCAGUGAGCUUCUUCGACCGGAUAGGGAACGAUCCUAGCAAUAGGGUCCGCCCUUCAAGAGGGUCGGUCCGGUCAGACCACGAAGAAGAGCAUGUUCCCUCUCCUCCUAGAAAUAGGAGGGAGAGGAGAAACUUAGUCGAUUGGGGGAGCCGGGGAAAAGCACCUCCUCCACCCCCAAGACAUCCAAGAUGAUGAAGGAUCAGAGGGGCCCUGUCGAUCUUAUGAGAUUGACGACGAUGACGAUAACCUCCCUUUCUCAAGAGAAAUCCGAAGCUUCCCAAUGCCAACUAACUUCAUGCCCCCUAAGAUCCCCAAGUAUGAGGGAAAAGGGGAUCUGGAGAAGCACCUCACAAAGUAUAUGACACAAAUGAGUCUUAGGGGAGCCUCACAUGCUCUAAAGUGCAGAGCCUUCCAUUUAACACUAGGCGGAGCCGCUGAGGUGUUGUACAGCAGGCUUCCUCCCCUAAGCAUCAGAAGUUGGCCGGACUUGAAGAAAGCACUUUUGAACCAGUACCUCUCACGCAGGGAAGGAGAGGCGCCAAUCCAACGCCUGCAAGACAUGAGGCAGGCCCUGGAGAGACGCUGAAAAGCUAUCUCGCUAGGUUUACAGACGAGAUUACUUACUGCGAGCAGGUCACUGACAGGGAAGCCCUUUCAGCCCUGAAAGGUGGUCUCAACAUGAACACUUUAUUUUGGAGGGACGUGCACAGCAAAAAUCCCUCCACAUACGACGGGUUGGUGGAAAUGAUGAGGGUGGAAAUUGUUAGUGAAGAAAUGAUUGAUCAUCGCAACCGUGCCACGCAGGGACUCCCUCCCCCACAGAGGCAGGUAGGUCGAGGCCCCGCAGCGCACCUUGUUACUCAGCAAUGGACCCAAGCAGGGCAUACCAUAGCUCCCACAUCCGGACAGGCCCUAGCUUCCGCCACAUUGAACGCAGUGCCGGUGUUGGCAUAUGAUAACGCACCUGUCGAGGCAGGACCAUCUGGAAGAACUGACAACAACAAGAAGGAGAAAAAGAGGCCAAACAGGCCCUUGCCAGGAGCAAGAUUUUGUACUUUCCAUCAACUAUACGGGCAUGACACUAGCGAGUGUCGGGAUGCCAACCGGCGUCUUGAUCGAAGUAACCCCCACACUUCCAGCAGAAACGAGCACCCCCACAGAUCCACCUCCCCGAGGAGGGGAGGAAGGGGUCACCAGGAACAAUCUCCUCGCAGAAGAGAAUCGAGAAAUCGAGGCCAAUCCAGGCAAGAGAACCAAGCCCAAUUCGCUGGAAGCCAAGUCAUCAGGGAAAUCGAUACCAUCAUUGGGGGACCCCACGUCGGUGGCAACACCAGGAAUGCCCAGAGAAAUUAUACAAGAGAAGCUAAGGAUCCCCCGAUGAUCACCUACAUUGUCGACGAAUCAAAAUCAGCAAACAAGAUGGCCCCAAUCACCUUCUCCCAGGAAGACUCAGAGGGAGUUCACCAUCCCCAUUGCGACGCUUUGGUUGUAAGGGCCGUAGUGGCUAGAAACGGAUUAAAACGCAUGCUCGUUGACAACGGCAGUUUCGUGAACAUAUUGUUCGACUCCACUUUUGACAAAAUGCAAAUUGAACAUGGGUUAAUCCCCAUGACCGACCCACUGUUCGGAUUCACUGGGACAGCAUCAUCCCAUGAGGGCGGAUUACCCUGCCUGUGGAAAUGGGUUCGGCCCCCCUGGUCGCCCAGCAUUUCAUGGAAUUUCUGGUGGUAGAUCAUAGGUCGGCUUAUCAUGGAGUAUUGGGCAGACCUGCUCUAAAAGAUCUUUGGGCUGUGACGUCCAUUCACUAUCUGUGCAUGAAAUUCCCAACUGAACAUGGGAUUGCAACGGUCCGGGGCGAUCAGAUGGGCUCCAGGGCAUGCUACCUAAACUCGCUACGUAAAUCUGAGCCCCCGAACUGUCAAUGUAAUUCUAGCCGAAGUACCCGCUGAAGCCGGUAUGGAUGUGAAAAUGCUCGACGCCCCUGAACAAGGGCAUACCUCUGAACAAGAGGAAGAUGUCAUAAUGGAAGAGGCCCCUGAACAAGGACACCCUCUUGAUGAGUUAGACCCCCGAAUAAUCGAUUAUGAACCAAAUGCGACCCCAAUGGAAGAACUGGAAACUUUCCCAGUCAAUCCAGAAGACCCAAUCAAGCCUUGCGCAUAGGGAAGUCAUUAUCGCUUGAAGCAAAAAUUGAGAUGAUACGAUUCCUGAAAGAAAACCUGGAUGUCUUCGCAUGGAAACAUGAGGAUAUGGUGGGAAUAGAUCCCAGGAUCAGUUGCCAUCACCUUAACAUCAACCCCUCCUAUGCCCCCCAUAGACAGAAGAGGCACGCCCUGAACCCGGAACGGUACGAGGUGUUGAAAGACGAAGUAAGUAAACUUAAUCGCAGUGGUUUCAUCAGAGAGGCCAUACAUCCGAGGUGGAUAUCCAACCCGGUUCUGGUGAAAAAGUCCAGCGGGAAAUGGAGGGUUUGUGUGGACUUCACAAACCUGAAUAAGGCAUGUCCCAAGGGCAGCUUCCCACUUCCAAGAAUUGAUCAACUAGUGGACUCCACUGCUGGGCAUGAACUACUGAGUUUCAUGGAUGCGUACUCAAGGUACAACCAGAUACCCAUGUUCCGGCCUGAUGAGGAAGCUACAUCAUUCAUUACGGACAGGGGGCUGUAUUGCUACAAAGUUAUGCCCUUCGGAUUGAAAAAUGCCGGGGCCACAUAUCAGAGGUUAGUCAAUAUGAUGCUUGCCGAACUCAUUGGCAAAACCAUGGAGAUCUACGUGGACGAUAUGUUGGUCAAAAGCCUCCAGGCGGCCGAACACGUGAGCCACAUUGACCAAACUUCCAGAUACUCAGAAGGUAUAACAUGAAGCUGAACCCCCUCAAGUGCACUUUCGUAGUGGCAUCAGGCCAGUUCUUGGGAUACAUUGUAAAUCAGAGAGGAAUUGAGGCAAAUCCGGCAAAGGUAGCGGCUUUACUAGAAAUGAGGUCACCUCAGAAACCGAAGGAGGUCCAAAGUCUCAAUGGCCGGAUAGCCGCACUCAGCCGCUUCAUCUCCAGAGCCACUGAUAAAAGUUUGCCUUUCUUCAAUGUAUUGAAGCAAGGAAAGAAAUUCCAAUGGACUUCGAAGUGCCAAGAAGCCUUCGAGUCUCUAAAGAAACACCUCGGUGAAGCACCCCUCCUGUCGAAACCCCAUCCGGAUGAAUCUUUGUUGCUGUACCUAGCAGUUUCAGACGUGGCAGUCAGCGCGGUCCUAACCAGGUAAGAAAAUGAGCGUCAAUUGCCGGUAUAUUACAUCAGGAAAGCACUUCUCCCAGCUGAAACACGCUACUCCGACAUGAAAAAACUGGCACUCGCACUUAUCACAGCCUCGAGAAAGCUGAGGCCAUAUUUCCAAGCCCACUCAAUACAAGCCCCUCCCCAAACCAUAACUCCCUUCCGAGGCCAUUCGUUAAGAAAUUUUUUACAGUCCAAAUGGGUGCUGAAACUUACGGGUUUGGAAGUUUUUCCUAGCCGGAAAUGGUACAGGAUCGCCGGAAGUAUCGUUCUCUCUCGCCGGAGUUGCUUGCAAAACGCCGAAAAUCGCCGAAAAUUUGAGAGCAAAAUAUGGUUUUCGUCUGGCAAAGAUAGAAACUCUGAUAAAACCCCAAAGUUCGCCUUUUAUAGGAAAGACAAGUCCAAUCUCCACCGUUGAAUUCAAAUACGAUCAAUCUAAACCGUUCAUCGCAUCUUCAAUCCGGACCGUUGAAAUGAAACGCCAGAUUUGAUCUACGCCCAAGAUGUCGCUGUGACUUUCACGCUAAAUUGAAACGCGUCACCUCGGUUACAAACAGCCGUCAAUAAUAAUUAUUAGCCGCAGCAGCGUUUUAGGAGAAUGGGCAUGGUACCCAACUAUCACCUUGGAAACACGCAACAGUUGUCAAAACAUUGGAUGUUUGGGUCGCUUCGGAUGAGCUCCUCCUCCAACUUUACAAAGCUUGGACGCACCUGACGCGAAUGCCCCAUUGGCUCAUCGCCUCGGUCGCUGCGUUUCCUCCCAUGCUUUACAAAGUUUCGGCCAUCUCCCCACGCGUCGACCUUUUCCUGUCAACGCGUCGGUGCGAGAUGAGCUCCUCCAACUUUACAAAGCUUGGACGCACCUGACGCGAACGCCUCAUUGGUUCAUCGCCUCGGUCGCUGCGUUUCCUUCCAUGCUUUACAAAGUUUCGGCAAUCUCCCCACGCGUCGACCUUUUCUUGUCAACGCAUCGAUCCGAGAUGAGUCCCUCAAACUUUACAAAGUUUGGACGCACCUGACCCGAACGCCCCAUUGGCUCAUCGUCUCGGCCGCUGCGUUUCCUCCCAUGCUUUACAAAGUUUCAGCUACCCCCACGCCGCGGCCCGGUCAGGAAAACAAAUCCACGUAUAAUAUAAAUAUUCAUUCCCGAAUUUGGGGGACCACUGUUAUGCCUCGAUUAUUCGAGCCUUGAUACCGAAGUGUCAUCUCACCACCAAGCAGACCAUCUGCCGAAGCAUCCCACCUCCUAGAUACCGAAGUGUCGUCUCACCACCGAAGCCAAGAUCAAGUAUACCACUCCGACCCUCCCGAAGCUUCUCCGAAGUGAUAUAUCGAUUCCUACUACUGAUCUGCCGAAGCAUCCCACCUCCGAGGUCAGGAUCAAGUGGACUCCGGUUAGAAGAUCCACCGCCAAUUUAAGAUUUGUCCUGCAUCUAAGGUUUAAAUUGAUUUGACGUCCCCAUGAGGCUAUUUGAUGUGACUUAUCAACUUUAUGUCAAUUCAACUCGGGGAAAACAAACUGCCCGCCCACUCUACAAGCGCGGCUGAUUGACGCCUAUGAGCAGACGCUUCAUACCGUCAGAUGUAUACACGUGUUCCACAUCCCACGGUUCAUACCACCUAUAAAUACCCAAAGUUUGGUAAGAGGCAAAGGUAAUGAAACUCUCAAUACAUAGCAUUCCAUAACAAGUUUAUAUAUUCUCCUCCCCCUUUAUUGAUUGGUUUGUGUAGCCCCUGGGCACUGUUCCGACCAUCCAAACCUAACUUGACCGUCGGAGUGUAUACGGCCGCCACCACCCCCGUCGGUUCCGACCGUGUGCGCCUGACCAUUUGUUCAUUUCGCAGGGAGGAAUACGUGGAGUAGCUAUAAGUUGGCCACGUGGAGGAGCCAUUUUUGGAGGUCAACAUCGAGAACAGUUUUUUUUUCACAAAUUUCUUUACAAAAUUUUAAGAUUAUUUGGAGCAGUCAAAUUGUACGUCUGCAGAGAUGAAAUUUGGUUCUAUGAAACUGCCGUAUGCCAUAUAUGCAGUACAUUGAGUGCUUAUAAGCAAUAACACUAUUUACUUGGGCCAAUGCAAAUAAUACCUGGUUAUUAUCCUAAAGAAGAAAAAGGAAAUUAGUAACUGCUGGUCAGUUCAAUUUUUUAUUUUGAUGUUUGGUGAAGCACCAAGAUAAAUUUGUAUUAUGUAUACUAUUUUUCAUCCGUGAGAGAUGGGGUAAGAAAUUGCGGCCCAGACAAAAGGCGAAGACGUUCUUCAAUAGGCUGAGAGCCAGCAAGAAACUAGGACUACUGUUGUUGGGUGGGGAAAGAAAAGAGAAAAGCAUUGUCAGAAAAUUAAACAGCAUGCUGAAACCUAACCCUACGUGUGGGGUUCCUAUAUCCUUGUCUAUGGAGGGUUAAGGGUUUGGCCUCUGGUUGACUUACAGGUGGAGAAAGCUCUGCAGAACUGAGGACAGAGUACGAGGUCUUCAAGAGAGACUCCGCAACCUAGUUGAAGCUGAACAGUCAAUAAAUACUGCUGCAUUAACAGAACAGUCAACAAACUCAACUUCAGUUACAAUCAAGGUCCCUUCACCUGCUGAUAAAGUUAUAUAAUAGUUGAGUAUGGUGCAGUUGAAUUUAUCCUUCAACUGGAAAGUAAGCUUUUGAAACCUCUUGUAACUUCCAUUUGUCUGACACUUGGCCGAUCUUGAAUAUUUUACUAGCAGCAAUUUCUGAAAUCUUUUCCAUACGUGAAAAAAUUGUUAUUUUUGUUUUUUUGUGAAGUAAUUAACCCAUCUUGAAUGAUUUACUUGAAAUGCUCUUAAACUAUAUUCUGUCGAUUGUUGGUAACAUUAAUGAAGAUCUAGCUUUCGAUAUUGUUAAUUGUGAGCUUGAUUUCAUAUGGAUAAGAUGAACUGGCCCUACUAUGUUCUAUUACUCUUCGUAGUAGAGAAUGCGAGGGUAGUAUUAUAUUGUAAUCCUAGG
rnacentral:lncRNA from 1 species